rnacentral:tRNA from 1 species
GCGGGUGUAGCUCAGUUGGUAGAGCGUCAGCCUUCCAAGCUGAAUGUCGCCGGUUCGAUCCCGGUCUCCCGCU